UUCCGUUCCUUUCAUCUCGGGUGGCACUCACAGGAUUUGUAUCACAGAACAAUCUAGGGUCACAGGAAAGCGCAUACUAUACUCCGUUCACAGAACUUCGGUCACAGAAAAUCUGUCUCCCUUCGAAUAGCUUUCGGAUACAACAAUGUCUUGGCAAAGUAUAAACCAGGAAGUGAGUGAACUGUGGUGGGAGAAUGCGUACAAGCUAUUUCUAGAAAACGAUCCUUUAAGAACGAUUAUACGGCAUCUCCUACGCUACUUGAGCAAUAAUACAUGGGAUGAUUAUGGAUUCAACAUCCACACACUUCUUCCUCCAACUGCAGCCGGUUUUUUCAAGCAUGUUGACAAACGGGCCAUUUUGAUCGUGAUUUCAAGAAGGCGGAAACUGGAUUACAAUAAUUGGAAGAGUCUGCAUCCUGCACUUUCUGAACCUGAGGAUCUGGAUGACACCGACAAAUCCCUUAUAAACCAGGUUAUAACCCAGAUGUACAAAGAGGAUGGCAGCCCUAAACCAUUAAACAGAGAGUAAACCGGGUAUCAUCAACUCAAUAAUUGCAGUUAUGUACAACAGAUGAUGUAUGUUCAAUACUGUGCAUGAUUUAUGGAAAGCUGCAAUAAUGAAUACUGAAUAAAUGAAUAAAAAAAGCUAAUGUUUUAUU